AGGUGUUUAUUACUUUAUCUGUGUCGAUUAUUGUCAGUAAUAAGAUGAUUAUAAAAUAGGUUAAUUAAGUAUUCCACAAGUUAUAAGGAGAGAUAUAAGUGAUUUAGGUUAAUUAAGUAUUCCACAAGUUAUAAGGAGGGAUAUAAGUGAUUUAGAUGAAAAUUUUCCCUCUAACAUAGCAGGAGUAAUAUUAUUCUGAGUUGUUUGCAAGGUUCAAAGAGAAAUAUCCAAAAUCGAAUCUCAAGUUGAAAGGCACACAUAACUAGUAGAUAUUCGUUCUAAUCAGAAGAAGGUAAUUCCUCUCUCCAACACAUCAAUCACCAUCUGAUCCAAUCUAACGAUUGUCUGCACAACACGUCACAUUAUACACGAGCAAUUUCAACAACUUUUAGUAUAUAACGGUAAAGCUAGUUCUUCUCUGUCGCAUCUGAAGUAUUGAUCCACCGCAGCAAGACAUCAUCGCUAUGUUACUGUUCAUUUCUAGUUCUUGACAAUAUAGUGGCGUUGUAUGUGAAAACUGACUUCUGAUUCCUACUAAAUUUCUAAGAAAACCCAUCAUUUUCCACCAAAUAUCCAAAUCAUCCAUCUAAACCCACACAAAAAAAUUCUGAUAUUCCAAAAGUUGGUCAAGGAGCAUUCCAAACUCUCUCGUUCUUUAGAUCCCCACAACAUCCUCACCAAGGCGAACCAUCACACCGUCCACUUUCUCUACCUAUUAUAUCUGAAUAGGAAAUGCUCUCAAGUCAUUCAGUUGUUGCAAAUAAAUCUCAAAGUACAGAGCGCCAAAGACUUGUUAAGCAACAUCUACAACUUAACGCAUCAACAAAGCUCAUAAUUCCUAGCUAAAAGGAUAUCACCAUAUCAUCAAGUUGGACAUUGAGCAACUUAAGGAAUUUGAAGAUUACACACUUGUUCUUAGACAAGUGGGAGAUUGAAGAAUUUUGUCUUUCAAUCAAGUGUAUUAAUCUAAAUAUAAUUGGAAAAUUUAUGGAGAUAAAAUAUUCAAUAAUAUUAGAUAAUCAUAAGGCUUUGCCAGAAGCCAAUUAUGUUUUAUUAGACAAAGAUAUUUGACCAAAUACUAAUAUUAUUGGGUCCUAUGAAGUCACACAAAUAGUAACAUACAGAUUAAAUUGGGAGGAUAUGGAUUAGAAGAGAAAUUGGGAGGUUAUGGAUUGGAAAAGAAAUUAUCUUAAAAGGGAUUAUUAAGUCACAUAAUGUAUGACAUUAUGGGCUUAAUCAAUCCUCCUCCAUUUAAACCUAUGAUGAUUUCUGUUUGGGCUGCUUUUUUGUUAACUGAGGUCUAUGAUGAUUUAUGUUUGGUCUGCUUCGUUAUUAUUUGAGGCCUAUGAAUCUAUGAUAUUCUGAGUUGUGACUUAAUAGUGCUUAUUGAUUCAAUUAAGUUGCCUUGUUAGUUGUGAUUUAAUAGUGCCUAUGAUGAAUUCUAUUUGAUCCGCUUCAUUUGACAUCAAUUAUCUGAGGCCUAUUUUGUUACCUGCUUGUGUAUUUACUUGUUUCUGAGACCUAUUCUAUUACCUCCUUGUAUAUUGCCUAUGAUGAAAUUAAUUCUGAGGCCAUUAUAUGUUGCCUUGUGAAUUAUUACGAGGCCAUUAUAUGUUACAUUAUACUUUACUUUAUGCAAUAGGUAUAAGAUGAUCUUCAUCAAAUGGGUAUACCCCUUCUUGUAUCUAAAUCAUACUCAAGCAACUACCUAUGAACAAGAGUUGUCUAACAACUUAAGUUCCCUCUUCCAAUUGUAUCAAGAUACCUAUGGAACGAAUGAUGAGAUUACUCAUAUUGUAUAUGAAAGUCCAGAAGUAGGAUUUACUUUUGGAUUGGGUAGGAGGAAUUUUGAGAGGUUUUUAGAAACUAUUGUGGGUGAUAAUAAUUCAAAAUUUGAUCUUGAAUUAUAUCUUGAGGACCCUCCUUUGAAAGUUCCCCCUAAAGCUAAAUUUGAUGUUUUAACAUGGUGGAUAGGGAAUGCAGCCAAGUAUCCUGUUCUUAGUAAAUUAGUAAAGGAUAUCCUAACUGUUCCAAUUACAACUGUUGCUUCAGAAGCAACUUUUAGUGCUGGGAAAAGGAUUAUUGGUCCGAAACGAUCAUCUAUGAAAACUAAGACAGUUUAAAUGGUGUUUUGUGGAGGUGGCUGGGUGAAGGAGAAGUAUGAGAUUAAGAAGGGUUGUACUGCUUCAAUUAUAAGUAAAUUCUUGAGGAACCACAAGAUGAGCCUUUGACAUAUUAUUUUGGUGAAGAUCCGGGUGUCGCUUCUUCUACAACUGCAACUUGAAGAUUUGUAUUUGCAAUGCCAAUGAUGAGAUUGUUCUGAGGCAUCAUUAAUAUAAUGUAAUGCUAUUUUGUACAAUUUUGAAAACAUAAGUUUCAUAACUUAUGAUUUAACAAUGUAAUGUUAUUUUGUCCAAUGGUGAUACAACGUGUAUCAAAA